rnacentral:lncRNA from 1 species
UUAAACCCAGGAUCUUCAAGCCCAACCACCACACUGUAAGAACCCAUACAGGAAUGUAGGUAGACAUUUCACAUGACAGCUUUGGUGGAGCUCCUAGUGAGCACUCAGAAACAAUGGGGACGAGAGCGAGAAUGAUUCAACGUGCUUCCAGCGGCAAAAGUCAAACUGGCUAUGAGAGAAAGCUCGAGAGAGAUUGCCCAGCUAAAUGAAGGCCGCACCAGAAUCUGAGGUGCUGAUGCAACAUGACCAGCUCCCCUCAGGUUUCUGCUGCUAUGGCUUCAGUGCUAUGAUGGACUGUAACCUGAAACUCACCCAGCUGUUCAUAGUUGGACCUUCCCGAACAAGGCAACCUGGAAACAGCUGUACAGGGACUGUCCUGCUGCCACCCUCUACCUUCAGUCCUGACAUUUAAAAGCUCUAAAAUGAAUAUCCAGAAAGUCACAGAAUCUAAGACACUGCUCCUUUCAAUUAAGGCUCACCCGGGACUUUAAACAAUGUGAUCCAUUGUAUGUACAUGGGUGGUUUGUGAUACAAUGUCAACUGGUGAAUUUAGACUCUUAAGAGUGUGUCCAUACUUCUGACUGGUGAAUGUGUCGUUUCUAUCAUUGCUACCCUCCCCCCAGCACUUGCUUGGGGGUUAAAACUGUGAUUGUUGUCUAAUUUGAAAUCUUGCCUUCAAAUAGGUAUAUAGAAAAAACAAAAUCUUUCCUUUUUGAAGGACUGAGUUUGGACCUGUGAAAUAAAUAUCACCACAUAAA